rnacentral:rRNA from 1 species
GCUGGAGCUUGCUCCAGCGGACAGUGGCAGACGGGUGAGUAACGCGUGGCAACCUACCCUUCGGUGGGGGACAACAGUUGGAAACGACUGCUAAUACCCCAUACGUCCUCCGGGAGAAAGAUUCGUCGCCGAUGGAUGGGGCCGCGUUAGAUUAGCUUGUUGGUGGGGUAAUGGCUUACCAAGGCGACGAUCUAUAGCGGGUCUGAGAGGAUGAUCCGCCACACUGGGACUGAGACACGGCCCAGACCCCUACGGGAGGCAGCAGUAGGGAAUAUUGGACAAUGGGCGAAAGCCUGAUCCAGCAACGUCGCGUGAAUGAUGAAGGCCUUAGGGUUGUAAAAUUCUUUCGCUAGGGAAGAUAAUGACUGUACCUGGUAAAGAAGCCCUGGCUAACUCCGUGCCAGCAGCCGCGGUAAUACGGAGGGGGCAAGCGUUGUUCGGAAUUACUGGGCGUAAAGCGUGCGUAGGCGGACUGGAAAGUCAGAUGUGAAAUCCCGGGGCUCAACCCCGGAACUGCAUUUGAAACUAUCAGUCUAGAGUUCUGGAGAGGUAAGUGGAAUUCCUAGUGUAGAGGUGAAAUUCGUAGAUAUUAGGAGGAACACCAGAGGCGAAGGCGGCUUACUGGACAGAUACUGACGCUGAGGCACGAAAGUGUGGGGAGCAAACAGGAUUAGAUACCCUGGUAGUCCACGCCGUAAACGAUGAUAACUAGCUGCUAGGGCCCACAGGGCUUUGGUGGCGCAGCUAACGCACUAAGUUAUCCGCCUGGGGAGUACGGUCGCAAGAUUAAAACUCAAAGGAAUUGACGGGGGCCUGCACAAGCGGUGGAGCAUGUGGUUUAAUUCGACGCAACGCGCANAACCUUACCAGCGUUUGACAUGC